rnacentral:rRNA from 1 species
CUUCGGGGUCCGAGUUGUAAUUUGUAGAGGGUGCUUUGGCGUCGGCCAUGGUCUAAGUUCCUUGGAACAGGACGUCACAGAGGGUGAGAAUCCCGUACGUGGCCGCUGGCCUUCGCCAUGUAAAGCCCCUUCGACGAGUCGAGUUGUUUGGGAAUGCAGCUCUAAAUGGGAGGUAAAUUUCUUCUAAAGCUAAAUAUUGGCCAGAGACCGAUAGCGCACAAGUAGAGUGAUCGAAAGAUGAAAAGCACUUUGGAAAGAGAGUCAAAAAGCACGUGAAAUUGUUGAAAGGGAAGCGCUUGCAGCCAGACUUGCCCGUAGUUGCUCAUCCAGGUUUCGGCCUGGUGCACUCUUCUGCGGGCAGGCCAGCAUCAGUCCAGGCGGUCGGAUAAAGGUCCCGGGAAUGUGGCUCUCUUCGGGGAGUGUUAUAGCCCGGGGCGCAAUGCGGCCAGCUUGGACUGAGGUCCGCGCAUCUGCUAGGAUGCUGGCGUAAUGGCUGUAAGCGGCCCGUCUUGAAACACGGACCAAGGAGUCUAACAUCUAUGCGAGUGGUUUGGGUGUCAAGCCCGAGCGCGCAAUGAAAGUGAACGGGAGGUGGGAACCCGCAAGGGCGCACCAUCGACCGAUCCUGAUGUCUUCGGAUGGAUUUGAGUAAGAGCAUAGCUGUUGGGACCCGAAAGAUGGUGAACUAUGCCUGAAUAGGGUGAAGCCAGAGGAAACUCUGGUGGAGGCUCGCAGCGGUUCUGACGUGCAAAUCGAUCGUCAAAUUUGGGCAUAGGGGCGAAAGACUAAUCGAACUAUCUAGUAGCUGGUUCCUGCCGAAGUUUCCCUCAGGAUAGCAGUAACGUUUUCAGUUUUAUGAGGUAAAGCGAAUGAUUAGAGGCCUGGGGGUUGAAACAACCUUCACCUAUUCUCAAACUUUAAAUAUGUAAGAAGUCCUUGUUACUUAAUUGAACGUGGACAUUUGAAUGUACCGUUACUAGUGGGCCAUUUUUGGUAAGCAGAACUGGCGAUGCGGGAUGAACCGAACGCGGGGUUAAGGUGCCAGAAUGCACGCUCAUCAGACACCACAAAAGGUGUUAGUUCAUCUAGACAGCAGGACGGUGGCCAUGGAAGUCGGAAUCCGCUAAGGAGUGUGUAACAACUCACCUGCCGAAUGAACUAGCCCUGAAAAUGGAUGGCGCUCAAGCGUGCUACCCAUACCCCGCCGCCAGGGCACAUAUUAUGCCCUGGCGAGUAGGCA